rnacentral:rRNA from 2 species
UUGACCUCAGAUCAGGUAGGAAUACCCGCUGAACUUAAGC